UACUCGAACAUACACGAGUACAAGUAUAUAUAAUGCAUAUUCUUUAAUGAUUACAGGGGUCGUUUGGUUUCUUUUUUCUGGGCCAUUCCAAGUUGAUCGUUUACCUCAAAUAAAGCUGCAUAAUCAGGUUCAACUUUAUCGCCUCGCUCGACGUUUAUGGCCAGAUGCAAAGUCUCGCCGGCGGGCCAACAGCUAACCAAGUCAGCACUAACAAUCUGGGGCAAAAAGUUACUGGAGUUGUAGGAAGCAGAACUUACACAGAAAGAAAGUUAAGUAGUCGCGACAUCAUGAGGUAAAUAGGGUAAAAAACCCUUUUUGAGUAUUCAUUUAAAUCAAGAAUAUAUACAGAACUUUUACGGUGCAGUGUGCAGACGUGUCCGUCUGGGAAAAAUGCAAAGUGCUGUGCAUAAAAGUGUUGUUCUCCCCGCUGUAAGUUUGCGCCGCACUGUUUAUCCGGCGAAGUGAAGGUGGACGGAGGACUAUGUGGCAUCCGGAUGCCUUGUGCUUUGCAUACCAAGAACGAUGGGCUUGGUUCGGGGGAGUGGCCCCGAUAAUCCGCAGUUAUUCUAUGUAAACUACGUUUCUUUGGCGAUGCAACAAUGAGCCGGAGGAUCCUGAACUUGGACCGACUGAAAGUCGGAAGCCCUAGAUAAAACACCAGCAGAAUCCAAUCAGCCAGGACUGGUGCCACCCCGUGGGCAAUCAAGUGGCAAACUGCUUCGCGGGUGUUCAUUAAAUCGUUAAUGUGGUUGAGGUUUUUCGCCUACAGUGCCGCAGAGCCACGCCCAUCCAGACCAAUUGAGCUAGCAGCAAUUGAACUUUGCCAAGCCAUCGAAUUAAAUAAAUACAGAACUUAGAGUACGCACAAGUGGAAUAUUAAAUGCUCUUUACAAAAAGAAAUUUGUAUAUGAAAACAAUGGUCAUGAAAAAUAUUUCCAAUUAAAUCACGAUAAAUCCCAAAUCGACAUUUUCUUUCCCCAGCAAGCUCGAGAGCAAAUCUCUUUGAUAGCGUAUCGCAAAAUGACGAUGUAAGGUGCCUGUUCCCGGACGGCAAGCCACAGACAUAUGCACCUCCUUAGAUGUACUGAUCGAUAUCCUUUGGGGCCGUGUGCAGGCGCAGUAGAUGGGUCUGGUGGCAGGUCUAAAGGUGGCGCAAAGAAUCAGGAUGAGGAGUUGAUGUCGGGGCUCACAUCAGUGCUGCCAGGAGGACAGAAUAAAUUUUCAUUAGGCGGCUAAAACAAUAGAACUAACCAAAGGGAAAACUCAAUAACCAAACUAAUAUAUGGAACUUUUUCACCUUCAGUGUAAUACAUUAAAAUUCAGUGUAUACAUCGACAUAAAAAUUCAU